UGCAGUCGAGCGGACAGAUGGGAGCUUGCUCCCUGAUGUUAGCGGCGGACGGGUGAGUAACACGUGGGUAACCUGCCUGUAAGACUGGGAUAACUCCGGGAAACCGGGGCUAAUACCGGAUGGUUGUUUGAACCGCAUGGUUCAAACAUAAAAGGUGGCUUCGGCUACCACUUACAGAUGGACCCGCGGCGCAUUAGCUAGUUGGUGAGGUAACGGCUCACCAAGGCGACGAUGCGUAGCCGACCUGAGAGGGUGAUCGGCCACACUGGGACUGAGACACGGCCCAGACUCCUACGGGAGGCAGCAGUAGGGAAUCUUCCGCAAUGGACGAAAGUCUGACGGAGCAACGCCGCGUGAGUGAUGAAGGUUUUCGGAUCGUAAAGCUCUGUUGUUAGGGAAGAACAAGUACCGUUCGAAUAGGGCGGUACCUUGACGGUACCUAAACCAGAAAGCCACGGCUAACUACGUGCCAGCAGCCCGCGGUAAUACGUAGGUGGCAAGCGUUGUCCGGAAUUAUUG
rnacentral:rRNA from 1 species